ACGGAAGGCAGCAGUGGGGAAUAUUGCACAAUGGGCGAAAGCCUGAUGCAGCGACGCCGCGUGAGUGAAGAAGUAUCUCGGUAUGUAAAGCUCUAUCAGCAGGGAAGAAAAUGACGGUACCUGACUAAGAAGCCCCGGCUAACUACGUGCCAGCAGCCGCGGUAAUACGUAGGGGGCAAGCGUUAUCCGGAUUUACUGGGUGUAAAGGGAGCGUAGACGGUUUGGCAAGUCUGAAGUGAAAUGCGGGGGCUCAACUCCUGAACUGCUUUGGAAACUGUCGAACUAGAGUGCAGGAGAGGUAAGUGGAAUUCCUAGUGUAGCGGUGAAAUGCGUAGAUAUUAGGAGGAACACCGGAGGCGAAGGCGCCAUACUGGACAGAAACUGACGUUGAGGCUCGAAAGCGUGGGGAGCAAACAGGAUUAGAUACCCUGGUA
rnacentral:rRNA from 1 species